AAAUGGGAAGACUCCUGGCAACUUUAACAGGCUCUGGACCAGCCUGGAUGCAUCUGAAUCAUCACAGAAUUGGAUAAACUCAUCAUCCUUAGCAAUUCAGAAAGAAUGGCCAAAAAUUCAACUGGCUGCAGCCCUGUUCAGAUCCAUUGCAUCAAAGAUGCUACGUGAGAGAUCAGACUUUCCUCUCAUUGUGAAGUGGGUACAGGAAGACAACAUGCUGUCUAAUACCCAGUAUAUUUAAAUAUUUUUCUCUCGUUUUAUGUACCAAUUUCAGUUUGUAUUAGAAGGACUGUAUGUGGGGUUCUGUGCUUUGCAACUUUAAAAUAAUGGGAGCACCAAUUCUGGUUUGACCGCAGGACUGAAUUCUUAGAUCCUUUAC
ensembl:lncRNA